UCCACGCUGUAAACGAUGUCAACUUGGAGUCUGUGCCAUUUGAGCGCGGGUUCCGGAGCUAACGCGUUAAGUUGACCGCCUGGGGAGUACGGCCGCAAGGUUAAAACUCAAAUGAAUUGACGGGGGCCCGCACAAGCGGUGGAGCAUGUGGUUUAAUUCGAUGCAACGCGAAGAACCUUACCUACCCUUGACAUAGUAAGAACUUGGCAGAGAUGCCUUGGUGCCUUCGGGAACUUACAUACAGGUGCUGCAUGGCUGUCGUCAGCUCGUGUCGUGAGAUGUUGGGUUAAGUCCCGCAACGAGCGCAACCCUUAUCCUUUGUUGCCAGCGAUUCGGUCGGGAACUCAAAGGAGACUGCCGGUGAUAAACCGGA
rnacentral:rRNA from 1 species